UCAGUUUGAUGAUGGUAGGAAUGUGAUGAUGGUUGGAGAGACCAACUCAUAUGGAGUUGGGUUUGGUGGGAGAGGAGUAAUGGUCGAGAAUAUUUGAUAUAUUUAACAUAUAAAAAUUCUGGCAUCAUCAUGUUGUCAUAUUUGAUCAUGAAUAAUCGCCAUGCAUGGACAAUAUUUAGUAUUGUUUAAAGAUAUUAAGAAAUGGGUGUACAAUUGUUGUUUUACCCAUUGUGUAAGCAUUACGACAUAAGAUGAGGCUUAGAUGAAUUAGGCGGGGUGGUAGUUGUUGAUUUUGUCUAGUUGACUACUUUCGCCAUCUCAAUAUACGUAAUGAUAGAUCAAUUUCUCGAAAAUUUAUAGUGACUCAUCAUUGUCAGUAGCUAGCCAAAUAUACGUAUAAACAAUAAAUUAAAGUCUUAGAAAAUUUUGUAACUGUACGUGGAAUUAUACAAAUAUAAAAGAAACGAAUGUAAUAUAAUUUUAUGAGGAGAAGAGUCAAUAUAAAUGGCAAACUCAUAGUUGUUGAGAAAAAAAAAAUGGCAAACUCAUGAGUGGUGACUGGUGAGGUAGGUGGGAAAGAUUUAUGAAGAGUGUUAGGUGGCGUCAAAAGGUGACCCAUGUCGGGGGCGAAUCUAGAAAAAUAUCUUAUAUGGAGCACGAUAUAUUUUUACAUGCGAAUGAUUUAAAAUA
rnacentral:lncRNA from 1 species